CCAGAUUUCCAUCAGCUUCAUCUUUCCCCACACAAACCACCACCGACAACUCCAUCGCCACGAAAAUCACCACCGCCCUUUCCUUAUUCUCUUCUUCUACAUCUUCUUCUUCUUCCAAUUGUUGUUGUUGGCCCGAUUUUUCCCCAUCAAUCUUGUGCCCUAAUCUAAUCAUAACAGCAACUCUUCUCAACUCUCCCUGGGAUCUCUUCUUUCUUCAUCUUCAUCUUCAUAGAUAGAUUUCCCACUAUAUUUCAAGUAUUCUAUACUCAAUUUCGAAUUUGGAGUAUAGGUUUGUGAUUUGAUUGAUUCAAUCAACAUAUAACCUGUAACCCUAUAUUGGAAAUUGGGUUAAUUGAUUGAAUUACUUUUGACUUGAUUGAAUUACUUUUGAGUGAGUUGGGUUGACUGAUUUACAGAGAAAUCAACCCCUUCGUUGAUGUAAUUGAUUGAAUUACUUUUUUGAGUUGUGAGGAAAUUAUGGUUUGUGCAAACUUUAGAUUGAUCGAAGAACAAUUUGAGGUAAGAUUAAUGGCGCAUAUGAUAUGAACAAUUUGAGAUGGAAGAUUCAUUUCCAGGUAAGGUUUCCGGUUUCCAACCACGUCGAAGUCCAAGAUUUAUUAAAAGAGAUGCUCACUUACAGCGGCGUCAUGUUACAUAUGAAGUAGGUUUUAUCGAUGACCGAAGUCGAAAAACAAACGCUUCUUGAGAAACAUAUGACCGAAGUCGAAAAACAAACGCUUCUUGAAAAACGUCGUAAUGCCUUUCGCUAUAGGUUUUAUCUUUUCCUAAUUAGCAGUAGGUUUUACCUUUUCCUGAUUGAGUGAAUCUUUGGAUAUUCUGAUGUAGUGUUAGGCUUUUGAACAAUGGGUUGUGUAAAGAAAUUGAUCAUGAUGGGUUGAAGCUAAAUGUGUAAGAAUUGCUAGGAAUUAAUUUUUUGUUCGUGUUUUGGUUUGUCUCAAAUAGGUAGUAAAGAACAUAAAUUGGCCAGUUGAUUUUCCCUGUACCGACAAGGAUUUUCACCGGUUUGAAGAGUAUGUAUCCAACUUAUUCUAGCUUAAUACCAGGUAAACAAAAGAUUGUGGUUGUAGUUAGGUUAGAUUGGUUGUCUGAAAUUCAAUGUAUUGAUGAAACGCUACAUUUUGAUAUGGAUUUUAAUUCUAAAACAGAUGGUUUUGGUACUGCAUUUUGAUAUGGUUUUCAAUGUAUCAUCAGAUUUGUUUUUUUAUGGAAGUUCAUGGAUAUUCUGAUGUAGUCCUACUAUUGCUGCACUUACUAAGUACUGUUAAAAGGUUUUCCCUCUUAGCAGCACCCCUGGAAUAAGUCUAGAUCUACUUGAUUUGUGCAGCAACUGGGUUAAAAAAAUUUGUUCUUUUGUUUUCUUCUUGCUCUAUUCUUUUUCCAGGCUACUUAGUAAUCUAACUGAUGACUUUUUCUAUGUUUGUAGGUGAGCCAUUUUCCAGCGGGAUAUGAGCAAGAAAAAGUUGUUGGCAUGAGUAUGAACACGAAGAAGAGCUGAAAAUAAUUCACUGUAAAUGUGCUUAUGUGUGAUAACAAAUAAGAGACUUUACUUGCUUUCCGGAGGAACAUCAAUGGACAUGAGACCUCAAAUUUGGCAUAUCCGGAAGUCCUUUUAUAGGUAACAGUACUGGAGAAAAUUAUGAACUGUUGCUGAGAAGCCGAAAUUGCAAGAAAGAGAAUUCGACCAAAUCCAAGUUUUGCUGCCUCAACGUAAAUGUGGUUCAAAUCUAUAACACCAAAAAUCUAUACACAUUCUAUUAUAUAUUGCCAUGUUAUUAUGAACAACACUGUUUACUUCAUAAUUUUAGUACUAAAUGUAAUUGGUUUAGUACUAAAUGUAAUUGUAAUUGCUGAUACCAACAGUAUGUUAAAGCCCGAACAAAAGUCCGUGCUAAUGCCAUUAUAACAUCA